rnacentral:misc_RNA from 1 species
GAUGAAGAACGUAGCGAAAUGCGAUAAGUAAUGUGAAUUGCAGAAUUCAGUGAAUCAUCGAGUCUUUGAACGCACAUUGCGCCCCCUGGUAUUCCGGGGGGCAUGCCUGUCCGAGCGUCAUUGCUGCCCUCAAGCACGGCUUGUGUGUUGGGCCCCGCCCCCCGGCUCCCGGGGGGCGGGCCCGAAAGGCAGCGGCGGCACCGCGUCCGGUCCUCGAGCGUAUGGGGCUUCGUCACCCGCUCCGUAGGCCCGGCCGGCGCCCGCCGGCGACCCCCCUCAAUCUUUUCAGGUUGACCUCGGAUCAGGUAGGGAUACCCGCUGAACUUAAGCAUAUCAAUAAGCGGACGA